CUACGGGACGCUGCAGUGAGGAAUAUUGCACAAUGGGGGGAACCCUGAUGCAGCAACGCCGCGUGGAGGAUGACGCAUUUCGGUGUGUAAACUCCUUUUAUAUGUCAAGAAAAUGACGGUAGCAUAUGAAUAAGCACCGGCUAACUCCGUGCCAGCAGCCGCGGUAAUACGGAGGAUGCAAGCGUUACUCGGAAUCACUGGGCGUAAGGGACGCGUAGGCGGGUUGGAAAGUCAGGUGUGAAAGCCUACAGCUUAACUGGAGAACUGCACUUGAAACUUCUAAUCUAGAGUAUGGGAGGGGGAGAUGGAAUUAGUGGUGUAGGGGUAAAAUCCGUAGAUAUCACUAGGAAUACCUAAAGCGAAGGCGAUCUCCUGGAACAUUACUGACGCUAAGGCGUGAAAGCGUGGGGAGCAAACAGGAUUAGAUACCCCUGUAGUC
rnacentral:rRNA from 1 species